UACAGAGGUCUCAAGCGUUGUUCGGAUUCAUUGGGCGUAAAGGGUGCGUAGGCGGCGCGGUAAGUCGGGUGUGAAAUCUCGGAGCUUAACUCCGAAACUGCAUUCGAUACUGCCGUGCUUGAGGACUGGAGAGGAGACUGGAAUUUACGGUGUAGCGGUGAAAUGCGUAGAUAUCGGGAGGAACACCUGUGGCGAAGGCGGGUCUCUGGACAGUUCCUGACGCUGAGGCACGAAGGUCAGGGGAGCAAACGGG
rnacentral:rRNA from 1 species